UUGCACUUUGUGGGCAGUGGAUGCUUCUGUACCUGAGUGAGGGCACCCCUGUGGGUCUUGGGUGGGGUAAGGGGGCAGGUAUUGAAGAAGGUCGAAAAGAGUCAAUGCCAUGAACUGUGAACAUCAGUCUGAGGAAGUGCACUCUGAAACCUUCCGUUUCUAAUAACCGAUGUCUGGUUUCCUUUGGUGACAUCUAGGUCAAUGUUGCACACAUCAGACUUGCUUACCUAUGUAUUCCCCUAACAUUUGGAUUCAAAAUGCUUUUUCAGGCUCUGGUUCCCUACAGAGAUGAAGCUCUCUGAUAUCGAAUAACUGUUCCACUGGACAUGAUGUCUAGCUCCCUGGGUAUAAUCCCAUUUCCUCAACCCAGUCCCUCCAGAGGUCACUGCCAAGGGGCAUUGUCUGCACUCUGCCUCAGGAGCAUCUCAUCCAGAGUUGCACUACGCUCUUCUCGGGCUAGAUGUGGGGGAUUUGGAGGCAUCGAGGAAGUGAAGAAGACGUUGAGUCAGUACUUCUGGAGUUCUUUCUCCCUGCUCACAGGACUGCUGGCCCAACAAAACUGAGAACUCCCUGCCCGAGAGGGAAGGUGCUACUUCUGGCCCUGUCAGAGCAGACAGCACCCCACAGCCUGCACAGUCAAGACCAUGAUGCUUGCAGAUGAGCAGGGACCCGGGUUAGCAAGAUACCCAAAGGGCUGGCCGCUCCAGGAAAGUGACGAGAGACACUGACCUUCUGCCUUCAGGAUGUGGAGUUAAAGAGCAUAAGACAACAAUCUGGGCAAAAUCGAGACCAAAGCCAGGGAGGCCAGACAAAGGGGAAAACUGACUCCUCGCUCUAGGCUAGAAACAGGAACACCAAACAGAUGUGUCCUUAGAGGUCAAGGAAACCCAAGAGUGUCCUAAAGCCAAAAAGCAAAGCCAUAGGUUUCUUCCAAGAAGGAGCUGCCUAGACAUCUGAGAUCGGCUUCGCUCCGUAUAUAUGUAUUAAUGUACUCAAGGAAUGUUUAUGUCCUGAGUGCGGCUGUUCACGGCGUAGUUGUCCCUGAAGAGAGCAGUCUGGAGAGAGGAGAUGGGCCCUAAGGGAUCUCUGACUUGUCAAGACCUGGAAAACCACCCUGGGUCCCAGGGAACACAAAUGGAAGUAGGGUGUGGUGGAGAAGAAGGAACAAGAGGAAGACUGCUUUCUGCCCCAAGGGUGGAGCUAUGGUUCUUGGGAAGUGAAGCCUAGGCCAGGGCAGAGAUAGAACAGCAACAGAGCGUGACCAAUGGCUCUUUUGUUGUUUGUAGCCUUCACUGAAUGCCAGGCACUGAAUAUUUCAUAAAAUGUUAACUCAUUCCGUCCUCAGGCAACCCUUGAGGUAGAUAUGAUUAUUCUUUUCAUUUUCCAAAUAAGGAAACUGAGCCACGGAGUCUACUUAGUGCCUAGGAAAGUGACCAGACAGAGGUAUCCAGACUAAGAGCAUUCCGGGGCAAACGUACUUGCAGGUAAAAGCUAGAUCCUGAACCCUCUCCGGGCACGGUGACUGGAUCAAACCUUGUGCCUGCCUGGAGGAGGCUUCUUUUAUGACACUCGAACCUACGGAUGGUGGUUCCAUGGCAGAGGUCUGAGGCUGGCUCUCAGAAACAGAACUGGACGUGUAGGCUCUCUCUAGAAUGCUCUAGAGCUCGUAACAGCUGUUUAAAAAUUUAUCCUCCCCCAGCUCCUUGGCCAAACGCAACAUGCUGGCCCCUGAACCUACCUCCCGGAAUGAGUUUGUCUCUGCCACUGAUCACGCAUUCAUUCCCGGUUGUCUGGGAGACAGCAUGUGAUAGUAUGUACCAGCGAUUGCGCUGGGCAUGAAUGAGGUGAGGUCUGGACCGAUCAAGAGAGGGGUCCCACAUUGGGGUAAAUCUGUGACUGAAGAAAGAAGAGUAAGGGUGAGCCUGCCGGAGGGUAUCUGAAUAGCAGAGAGAUUCAGGAAGACAGCUGGAGCCUGGCCGGCUGCACAGAAACUGCAAGUCAUUUCUUGGGGACUCGCCUGACAGCCUCCUGGAGAUGCAGACCCAGAGGAAAACACAGCCUCUCCUCUUGUCUCACUGGCCAGUUUAAAAAAAAACAUGUAAGAAGGAGGCUUUCCCGAAAUGACAGUG